ACUCCACGAUCCUAUAUGUAGCUGUUGGAGUCGGACUUUGUGGAAUCACAGCUUUUCUCGCUGUUGUUUUCUGGAGAAGAAGAAAGAGGGAUGAUGGAAACACAGAUGAAUAUCUCUAUGUGAAUGUAGACUCCCAUUCCCGAUCUCCUGAUGAUGAUGCAUCCAGUGAUCAUGUCUACGAGAAUACUGCAGACAUACAGAGUAAGCCCUCUGGACAUGUCUGACCCCUGCAAGAUUCACUGCUGUACUGUUUCCAUGACCAGAGUUCACUUAAAAGCAUCGAAAGUGCCAAAAGAAGUUAUUUUUGUUUCAUGCUGACAGCUCAAUUCACUCAACCCGCCAUAGAACAAUGUCCUAGACAGACUGUGUGACCUCUCCCUCUCUCCCUCUCUCUCUCUUUCUCUCUCUCUGUCUCUCUCCCUAAUGUUAAACCAUAUUUAAUUCUUUUCAUCAACUACCCUAC